rnacentral:misc_RNA from 1 species
UGCCAAGAAUAUGAUGUGUGCUGCUGACCCCCGCCAUGGCCGCUACUUGACUGCCUCAGCUAUGUUUAGAGGAAAGAUGAGCACCAAAGAGGUGGACGAACAGAUGAUUAAUGUGCAAAAUAAAAAUUCAUCAUAUUUUGUGGAGUGGAUUCCUAACAAUGUAAAGUCUAGUGUGUGUGAUAUACCUCCCAAGGGAUUGAGGAUGGCAUCAACAUUUGUAGGGAACUCCACAUCAAUCCAGGAGAUGUUCAGGAGGGUGAGUGAGCAGUUCACAGCCAUGUUUCGUCGCAAGGCCUUCUUGCACUGGUACACUGGAGAAGGAAUGGAUGAGAUGGAGUUCACUGAAGCCGAGAGCAACAUGAAUGAUUUGGUGGCAGAGUACCAGCAGUACCAGGAUGCAACUGCUGAGGAGGAUGUAGAGUAUGAGGAGGGCAUUGAAGAGAAUUAUGAGGGCUAAGAAGCUUAUGAAUUGUGGCUAUGUUUUCAGAGUCAGAAUGAGGUUUGAUGGCUCAACCUCACUUGUUCAUGUAUCUACUACUACUAUGUGGCUGUCAGUAUUUUCUCUGUUGAUUUGAUAUUCGGUUUCCUGAGGUGAUAUUGUUGGUUUGUUAUAUCAAGCCUUUGAAUAAAGGAAUUUCAUGUUUGAUUUUACCUGCUUAGAAAGGGCGAAAGGGGGUGGAAUUAUGUUGCUUUAUGUUGGGGCUUUUUCUUGAAAAGUGCUCAGGAAUUACUUGCUGGAAGCAAUCGGGAGUGAAUUGAAUUUGAAUGCAAACUAUAAUUGAUGUUAAAGACAAAUGAAUUUCUUUUGUACGACUGCUGGAUUUCUGUACGCUUGCUUAUUAUCCUUCAAAGUGAAUUGAAUUUGAAUGCAAACUAUAAUUGAUGUUAAAGACAAAUGAAUUUCUUUUGUACGACUGCUGGAUUUCUGUACGCUUGCUUAUUAUCCUUCAAAGUGAAAAAUUAUGAUUGCUACAUUUCUUCAAGUAAUAGUGUCAUAAGUUUCUUUCACAGUGCAAGGUUGUCGCUCAUUCUGCUUUUAUUAAUC